rnacentral:rRNA from 1 species
UUAAGGGCGCACGGUGGAUGCCUUGGCACUAGAAGCCGAUGAAGGACGUUACUAACGACGAUAUGCUUUGGGGAGCUGUAAGUAAGCUUUGAUCCAGAGAUUUCCGAAUGGGGAAACCCAGCAUGAGUUAUGUCAUGUUAUCGAUAUGUGAAUACAUAGCAUAUCAGAAGGCACACCCGGAGAACUGAAACAUCUUAGUACCCGGAGGAAGAGAAAGAAAAUUCGAUUCCCUUAGUAGCGGCGAGCGAAACGGGAAGAGCCCAAACCAACAAGCUUGCUUGUUGGGGUUGUAGGACACUCUGUACGGAGUUACAAAGGACGACAUUAGACGAAUCAUCUGGAAAGAUGAAUCAAAGAAGGUAAUAAUCCUGUAGUCGAAAAUGUUGUCUCUCUUGAGUGGAUCCUGAGUACGACGGAGCACGUGAAAUUCCGUCGGAAUCUGGGAGGACCAUCUCCUAAGGCUAAAUACUCUCUAGUGACCGAUAGUGAACCAGUACCGUGAGGGAAAGGUGAAAAGCACCCCGGAAGGGGAGUGAAAUAGAACCUGAAACCGUGUGCUUACAAGUAGUCAGAGCCCGUUAAUGGGUGAUGGCGUGCCUUUUGUAGAAUGAACCGGCGAGUUACGAUUUGAUGCAAGGUUAAGCAGUAAAUGUGGAGCCGUAGCGAAAGCGAGUCUGAAUAGGGCGUUUAGUAUUUGGUCGUAGACCCGAAACCAGGUGAUCUACCCUUGGUCAGGUUGAAGUUCAGGUAACACUGAAUGGAGGACCGAACCGACUUACGUUGAAAAGUGAGCGGAUGAACUGAGGGUAGCGGAGAAAUUCCAAUCGAACCUGGAGAUAGCUGGUUCUCUCCGAAAUAGCUUUAGGGCUAGCCUCAAGUGAUGAUUAUUGGAGGUAGAGCACUGUUUGGACGAGGGGCCCCUCUCGGGUUACCGAAUUCAGACAAACUCCGAAUGCCAAUUAAUUUAACUUGGGAGUCAGAACAUGGGUGAUAAGGUCCGUGUUCGAAAGGGAAACAGCCCAGACCACCAGCUAAGGUCCCAAAAUAUAUGUUAAGUGGAAAAGGAUGUGGCGUUGCCCAGACAACUAGGAUGUUGGCUUAGAAGCAGCCAUCAUUUAAAGAGUGCGUAAUAGCUCACUAGUCGAGUGACACUGCGCCGAAAAUGUACCGGGGCUAAACAUAUUACCGAAGCUGUGGAUUGUCCUUUGGACAAUGGUAGGAGAGCGUUCUAAGGGCGUUGAAGCAUGAUCGUAAGGACAUGUGGAGCGCUUAGAAGUGAGAAUGCCGGUGUGAGUAGCGAAAGACGGGUGAGAAUCCCGUCCACCGAUUGACUAAGGUUUCCAGAGGAAGGCUCGUCCGCUCUGGGUUAGUCGGGUCCUAAGCUGAGGCCGACAGGCGUAGGCGAUGGAUAACAGGUUGAUAUUCCUGUACCACCUAUAAUCGUUUUAAUCGAUGGGGGGACGCAGUAGGAUAGGCGAAGCGUGCGAUUGGAUUGCACGUCUAAGCAGUAAGGCUGAGUAUUAGGCAAAUCCGGUACUCGUUAAGGCUGAGCUGUGAUGGGGAGAAGACAUUGAGUCUUCGAGUCGUUGAUUUCACACUGCCGAGAAAAGCCUCUAGAUAGAAAAUAGGUGCCCGUACCGCAAACCGACACAGGUAGUCAAGAUGAGAAUUCUAAGGUGAGCGAGCGAACUCUCGUUAAGGAACUCGGCAAAAUGACCCCGUAACUUCGGGAGAAGGGGUGCUCUUUAGGGUUAACGCCCAGAAGAGCCGCAGUGAAUAGGCCCAAGCGACUGUUUAUCAAAAACACAGGUCUCUGCUAAACCGUAAGGUGAUGUAUAGGGGCUGACGCCUGCCCGGUGCUGGAAGGUUAAGAGGAGUGGUUAGCUUCUGCGAAGCUACGAAUCGAAGCCCCAGUAAACGGCGGCCGUAACUAUAACGGUCCUAAGGUAGCGAAAUUCCUUGUCGGGUAAGUUCCGACCCGCACGAAAGGCGUAACGAUUUGGGCACUGUCUCAACGAGAGACUCGGUGAAAUCAUAGUACCUGUGAAGAUGCAGGUUACCCGCGACAGGACGGAAAGACCCCGUGGAGCUUUACUGUAGCCUGAUAUUGAAAUUCGGCACAGCUUGUACAGGAUAGGUAGGAGCCUUUGAAACGUGAGCGCUAGCUUACGUGGAGGCGCUGGUGGGAUACUACCCUAGCUGUGUUGGCUUUCUAACCCGCACCACUUAUCGUGGUGGGAGACAGUGUCAGGCGGGCAGUUUGACUGGGGCGGUCGCCUCCUAAAAGGUAACGGAGGCGCUCAAAGGUUCCCUCAGAAUGGUUGGAAAUCAUUCAUAGAGUGUAAAGGCAUAAGGGAGCUUGACUGCGAGACCUACAAGUCGAGCAGGGUCGAAAGACGGACUUAGUGAUCCGGUGGUUCCGCAUGGAAGGGCCAUCGCUCAACGGAUAAAAGCUACCCCGGGGAUAACAGGCUUAUCUCCCCCAAGAGUUCACAUCGACGGGGAGGUUUGGCACCUCGAUGUCGGCUCAUCGCAUCCUGGGGCUGUAGUCGGUCCCAAGGGUUGGGCUGUUCGCCCAUUAAAGCGGUACGCGAGCUGGGUUCAGAACGUCGUGAGACAGUUCGGUCCCUAUCCGUCGUGGGCGUAGGAAAUUUGAGAGGAGCUGUCCUUAGUACGAGAGGACCGGGAUGGACAUACCUCUGGUGUACCAGUUGUCGUGCCAACGGCAUAGCUGGGUAGCUAUGUGUGGACGGGAUAAGUGCUGAAAGCAUCUAAGCAUGAAGCCCCCCUCAAGAUGAGAUUUCCCAACUUCGGUUAUAAGAUCCCUCAAAGAUGAUGAGGUUAAUAGGUUCGAGGUGGAAGCAUGGUGACAUGUGGAGCUGACGAAUACUAAUCGAUCGAAGACUUAAUC